rnacentral:tmRNA from 1 species
GGGGAUGACAGGCUUCGACAUCGUGAUUUCCUGAUCACGCCGUCUCUGUUCGGGAUUGCAACGGUUCCCGUUACCCACUUGUUGCAAACCAUAUCUGCCAAAUCAGAUAUUCUCGCGAAAGCUCGCACUUUCUUCGAGGGACUUCGGUUCCCCGCGCUUGUGCCUGCCUACGCAUAAGUUCUCACUGAUAGAGAACACGUCUCACCUCCUACUCCUGCUAAGCGGAUGAGGCGCAAUCAGCAGGACGGAACAUGAUUUGAUGUGACCAUGCCUCCGUAAUCCAGCAUCAGCCCUCUUGCCUUUUUCUUUGUUCUUUUCCUUGUGAGGCAGAGUACGAAAAGUUCAUGACAGUACAGACACGUUUUCACCACGUUGGACUCGGGUUCAAUUCCCGGCAUCUCCACCA